CUGCUAUCCUGACUUUGUGACUAUUGUAUAUGUGAUCCACAUAAAACUCCCUGUUAAGGCACCCAGAGCACAGAAUUGAGGAAGAAUACCAACAUUUAGUCUCGAAAUAAACAGCCAGGGAUCAGAACGGCUAAUUAGCUACUUGUUCAAGGCCACACAGGUGGUAAAUGAUAGUUAAGAGUUGCAGUUCCCAGAUCCUCCUGACUCCAGCCGAUGGACUGCCCUGUGUUCUGAUGUUUGACCUCUCCAAAGAUGUAUAAGGACGUCACUGGAGAGCAUGGGAGAUCUUCUGCGGUGUAGACAGAACCACCAGCGGAUUAACUUCAGCAUCUGUGGGUAAGUCUGCACAAGGCCUCCUCUGCCUUCUUCCGGGCCCUGGCACGUGGUGGUGGUGCUCGGCGCUGGAACGAAAGCGUGAAGCCCGGGCGCGCAGCCAGUUUGGUGUUACGUAUCCGACUUUACCCCAACUCUCCAAGUCAGUCCCGGGUGACCCCUAGGAGCUGGUGUAGGGGGCGUGUCUGGCGCGGGGCAUGCCGGGCGGGCAGGUGGGCAGGUGCCUGGGCGGGGCGC